rnacentral:rRNA from 1 species
GAACGUAGCGAAAUGCGAUACUUGGUGUGAAUUGCAGAAUCCCGUGAACCAUCGAGUCUUUGAACGCAAGUUGCGCCCGAUGUCUUCAGGCUGAGGGCACGUCUGUUUGGGCGUCACGCAUGUCGUCAACCCCUCCCACGUCGUCUUCUUCCCCGCUCGAAG